UCUGUCUCCAGGCUGAAACGGGACCUCCCUCUCCCGAGCUCCCAGCCCAGAUUGUGUCGUCUGCACUGAGACAUGACACCUUGCAGCCACAACCAUCUUAACCUUCACAGAGGCUUCCUGAGGCGAGGAAGUUGCUCUCCUGAGAGGUGCUAGCUGCAUUCCUGGCCUGGGAGCAGGGAGCCUGUCUGACCCCUGUGUCACACUGGAUGGUUUUACAGA
rnacentral:lncRNA from 1 species